rnacentral:tRNA from 1 species
GGUAGGGUGGCCGAGCGGUUUAAGGCGCAUGCUUGGAGAGCAUGUGUGCCAGAAAUGGCACCAUGGGUUCAAAUCCCAUCCCUACCG